rnacentral:rRNA from 1 species
GACGAACGCUGGCGGCGUGCCUAAUACAUGCAAGUCGAGCGGACUUAUGGGAGCUUGCUCCCAUAAGUUAGCGGCGGACGGGUGAGUAACACGUGGGCAACCUGCCUGUAAGACUGGGAUAACUUCGGGAAACCGGAGCUAAUACCGGAUAACUCUUUCCCUCACAUGAGGGAAAGCUGAAAGAUGGUUUUGGCUAUCACUUACAGAUGGGCCCGCGGCGCAUUAGCUAGUUGGUGAGGUAACGGCUCACCAAGGCAACGAUGCGUAGCCGACCUGAGAGGGUGAUCGGCCACACUGGGACUGAGACACGGCCCAGACUCCUACGGGUGGCUG